rnacentral:tRNA from 3 species
UGCCGGGAUAGCUCAG